CAGCCGUAAACUAUGCUCGCUAGGUGUCAGGCAUGGCGCGACCGUGUCUGGUGCCGCAGGGAAGCCGUGAAGCGAGCCACCUGGGAAGUACGGCCGCAAGGCUGAAACUUAAAGGAAUUGGCGGGGGGAGCACCACAACGGGUGGAGCCUGCGGUUUAAUUGGACUCAACGCCGGGAAGCUCACCGGAUAAGACAGCGGAAUGAUUGCCGGGCUGAAGACUCUGCAUGACUAGCUGAGAGGUGGUGCAUGGC
rnacentral:rRNA from 1 species